rnacentral:rRNA from 1 species
AGCAGCCGCGGUAAUUCCAGCUCCAAUAGCGUAUAUUAAAGUUGCUGCAGUUAAAAAGCUCGUAGUUGAAUUUCGGGAUCAAAUUGCUGGUCGUGCCUACGGUACGUACUGGUUUUGUUGGUUCCUCCUUUCCGAGGAGCCGUGAUGUCAUUAAUUUGGUGUCGCAAGGAAUCGGAACUGUUACUUUGAAAAAAUUAGAGUGUUUAAAGCAGGCUAACGCUUGAAUACAUUAGCAUGGAAUAAUGAAAUAGGACGAUUGAUCCUAUUUUGUUGGUUUCUAGGAUCUACGUAAUGAUUAAUAGGGAUAGUUGGG